GUGAAGUUACACGGGGACGGGCUGAAAAUGAUGUUAAUUCCGCGCGUCUGA
rnacentral:snoRNA from 1 species